UCAGGCCUAACACAUGCAAGUCGUACGAGGUGUAAAUAAUUCACUUGUGAAUUGUUUAUUACUACAGUGGCGCACGGGUGAGUAACACGUAAGAACCUGCCUUUUGGAGGGGGAUAACAUAGGGAAACCUUUGCUAAUACCCCAUAAAGCUGAGGAGCUAGAUCGCAUUUGCGGCCAAGAGAGGGGCUUGCGCCUGAUUAGCUAGUUGGGGAGGUAAUGGCUUCCCAAGGCCACGAUCAGUAGUUGGUCUGAGAGGAUGAUCAGCCACACUGGGACUGAGACACGGCCCAGACUCCUACGGGAGGCAGCAGUGAGGAAUUUUCCGCAAGGGGCGAAAGCCUGACGGAGCAAUACCGCGGACAUAAGAGGGAUCGUGGUCUGUAAACUUCUUUCUCAGAGAAGAAGAU
rnacentral:rRNA from 1 species